rfam:Penicillium brasilianum genome assembly, contig: SCAF1
GCGGAUGAUGAAAAAUUUUUAACCCCGAGCAUGCGUCUCCCGUGAGACCGCGCUGACGAUUAAAAACGCAACAACAACACUCUAAUUUUUUGCUGACG